UACAGAGGUCUCAAGCGUUGUUCGGAUUCAUUGGGCGUAAAGGGUGUGUAGGUGGCGCCGUAAGUCGGGUGUGAAAUUUCGGAGCUUAACUCCGAAACUGCAUUCGAUACUGCGGUGCUUGAGGACUGGAGAGGGAUGCGGAAUUCCAGGUGUAGCGGUGAAAUGCGUAGAUAUCUGGAGGAACACCGGUGGCGAAGGCGGCAUCCUGGACCAAUAUUGACGCUGAGGAGCGAAAGCUAGGGGAGCAAACGGG
rnacentral:rRNA from 1 species